UUCCCUUUCACGUUGAUCCCUGGAAACGAAGGGGCUCCUAUGAUAAAAGGAUAUGUAAUUUGCCAGAAAUGACCUGGGUCACUCCUAAAGAAUAACCAUACCAAGUGCAUUGGCCCCUUGGCUGAUUCAAAGACAACUAGGAAUGAGAUGUCAAGGAAACAUACACUUGGGAAAUUAAUGUCAGCUUGGAUUGUCCUUAUGAAGACUUAUGGAGGUCACUCUGGGCCAAGAUAUCUACCAUCCAAGACAAGGCUACCUGUGUCAUUUAUUUGAGAACUAGCUUAAUCAUCAUAGUUAACCAUGCAUUCCAUGCAGGUGAGGGAGCAGACUGUCAAAGAGAGAUGGAAAGCACUAUCUUUUUUCUGCAUUCAGCACAGAAAUCAAAUCAAAUGAGUCUUUGCCAAACUGAAUGAAAAUCAGAAAAGUUAGUAAGCAGUCCCAAAAUACACACCAUCAAUUUCACUGAGUGGGAUCUGUCCGAAAAUUUGCAAGAAAGGUCGGUAGAAAACACGUCGAAAUAUCCAAGGGAUUCUUCUAUCG